rnacentral:misc_RNA from 1 species
GAAUAAACUCUUAAGGCUGCAGAAUUGCCCUUAAGAGCAGUUGCACCCACCAAGCAAAAUCAACCUCGAUUUAAUGCACUCAACUCAAGUGUUCCAUCCUAGCUAAUAACAACCAUUGUAAUCAGGUUAUACCUGCAUCUGGGCCCUGUCCCACUUUCCUUCUUCUUUGUAGUAGCAUUCACCGGAUGGCUUUCUUACAGCACCUAAGACUCUGCUUAUUGUGAUGCAUCUAACAAACCUAAUAGGUAAAUCCUCCCCUAAUGUCAUUGAUCCAUUCCCUCCAUGUUGCUCUUUCAUUUUCCUAACCCUUAUUUAGUGUUGUUGAUUACUUCACCUUUAACUCCUUCAUUUUCGUUAAUGGUGCUUAUGUAAAAAGAGAGUAAUUGCAUCAAUUGAUUCAGGGAAUAAAGGUUAUGCUUGGGGCAUAGGCAAUUGAGAAGCUGCAAGGGAAGAAUAGAAAAGGGAAAGGGGAAGGGGGAGGUGGAGGGAGGAAAUGAGAACGAGAAAGAAAAAGGAAAAGUGUAAGAGAGGAUAAGGGUAUUUUUAAUCUUUU